GUUGAGUAGUUUCUUCUAUUUGGUCGGGCUUCUGUUUCUUCGACAUUUUCCUCAUUUCCAUUCUCAAUUUUAUCAAGGAUUUACUAUACUCAAAGAUUUUUUACUUUGCGGAAGCAACGUAAAAAAGGAAUGGACAGCAAAUUUGCAUGUGAUUCUUGUAAAUUACAGUUAAGAUCAGUUAACAGAGAAAAUAAUGUCAAAAACAGUGAACACUUAAGUAUUAAGUAACAGAUAACUGGAAUCUCAAUUUCAAAUAAACAGUUAACAACAUUGCAAAUUUUAACAAAACAGAUUACAGACAGUGGGUCGAACAGUUAAGUGUUUUUAAAUUUAUCAGUCAAAUAACAGUUUUAAACAAAUUAAAACCUUGAAAAAGACAAAAACAGUUUAAUUUAAAAAGGACCCCCCCCUUCCCCACCCCUUAGAUAUUUGAACUUAAUACUUUAUUUUCUUUGAAAGGACGG
rnacentral:lncRNA from 1 species